GAUGAACGCUGGCGGCGUGCUUAACACAUGCAAGUCGAACGGAAAGUCCCAAGCUUGCUUGGGUACUCGAGUGGCGAACGGGUGUGUAACACGUGGGUGAGCUGCCCUGCACUUCGGGAUAAGCCUGGGAAACUGGGUCUAAUACCGGAUAGGACGAUGUUUUGGAUGCCAUUGUGUACAGUUUUUUCGGUGUGUGAUGUGCUCGCGGCCUAUCAGCUUUUGCGUGGGGUACUGGCCUACCAAGGUGUAGACGGGUAGCCGGCCUGAUAGGGUGUACGGCCGCAUUGGACCUGAGCUACGGCCCGCACUCCUACGUGUGGCAGAAGGGGCGAAUACUGCAUAGUGGGCGGCCGCCUGAGGCAGGGACGCCUCGUGAGCGUUGACGGCCUUCGGGUUGUAAACUCCUUUCGCUAGGUACCAGGCGUCUUUGUGACGGUACCUGGAGAAGAAGCCCCGGCUAACUACGUG
rnacentral:rRNA from 1 species